UCAGGCAAGAAAGUGACAUGACCUGCUGCCAACUUUAAUAAAAAUAUAUUAUCUUCUCAUACAUCGUUUUGCUAUUGAUGUCAUAUUAAAUAGCAAUCAAAUUGAUUACUAUUUUGAAAAUGUAUAAUUGAAGAUUCAUAUUGUCUUGAGUGCUGUUUUUAAUAUAAAAAGAAUGUUGAGUUUUCAGAGUCUUUAUUGUCAUUUUUUUGUGAUAGGACCCUACCAGACUAUAUUUGAAUACGGCAUACCCAUGAAUUCUGGAACUUUUAUUUCUUAACCCAGUUUGGAGGAUAAGAGCUUACCAACUAUAAAUAUGCUGAGGUGAUGUAUUGCAAAAUAGCCAACAUACAACAAUUAAAGGAUAAUUGCAGCCUAUAUCCUGAUUAAGAUAUGGAUGACCCUCUGUCUGGUCAACAAUAGUUUAAAUAUGGACGGGACAGUGAUGUGGCAGCUCUUCCCUGGCUCAUUCACCUCUUGCCUUCAUUUGUGAAAGGAGGAAAGACUGGAGAGGGUCAAUGUGCAACUGAAGCUACUGAUUGUGCUGUGUGAUGAGCAUCAAUCCAUGCUUUGAGGUGGAUGAAUCAGCACAGCCCUGCCUGCUCUGCGUUGGGAACAAAAGUUGCAUCCAGAAUUUUUGCAUCAUUCUGGACCAAAAAGCCAUUCCCUGCAUGAUGAAGACCACUGAUGCAGCCUUCCACUACAUCAUGAGUAAAACAACUACAGAACUAAAUACCAGGUUGGAACGUGUUUAAGAAAAAUGAAACGUCUUUUGAAUUGAAAUGUCUGUUUUGUUAUGGAAAAAUCUUUAGUAUUGUGAAGGAUAAGCAUUUCUGCUUGUCGAUAAGGUAAUUGCAUGUAUUUUAAUG